GCGGAGGAUCAUUAGUGAAUAUAGGACGUCCAACUUAACUUGGAGUCCGAACUCUCACUUUCUAACCCUGUGCACUUGUUUGGGAUAGUAACUCUCGCAAGAGAGCGAACUCCUAUUCACUUAUAAACACAAAGUCUAUGAAUGUAUUAAAUUUUAUAACAAAAUAAAACUUUCAACAACGGAUCUCUUGGCUCUCGCAUCGAUGAAGAACGCAGCGAAAUGCGAUAAGUAAUGUGAAUUGCAGAAUUCAGUGAAUCAUCGAAUCUUUGAACGCACCUUGCGCUCCAUGGUAUUCCGUGGAGCAUGCCUGUUUGAGUGUCAUGAAUACUUCAACCCUCCUCUUUCUUAAUGAUUGAAGAGGUGUUUGGUUUCUGAGCGCUGCUGGCCUUUACGGUCUAGCUCGUUCGUAAUGCAUUAGCAUCCGCAAUCGAACUUCGGAUUGACUUGGCGUAAUAGACUAUUCGCCGAGGAAUUCUAGUCUUCGGACUAGAGCCGGGUUGGGUUAAAGGAAGCUUCUAAUCAGAAUGUCUACAUUUUAAGAUUAGAUCUCAAAUCAGGUAGGACUACCCGCUGAACUUAAGCAUAUCAAUAAGCGGAGGAA
rnacentral:rRNA from 1 species